rnacentral:rRNA from 1 species
UAGGGAAUCUUCCACAAUGGACGCAAGUCUGAUGGAGCAACGCCGCGUGAGUGAAGAAGGUUUUCGGACCGUAAAGCUCUGUUGUUGGUGAAGAAGGAUAGAGGUAGUAACUGGCCUUUAUUUGACGGUAAUCAACCAGAAAGUCACGGCUAACUACGUGCCAGCAGCCGCGGUAAAUCGUAGGUGGCAAGCGUUGUCCGGAUUUAUUGGGCGUAAAGCGAGCGCAGGCGGAAGAAUAAGUCUGAUGUGAAAGCCCUCGGCUUAACCGAGGAAUUGCAUCGGAAACUGUUUUUCUUGAGUGCAGAAGAGGAGAGUAGAACUCCAUGUGUAGCGGUGGAAUGCGUAGAUAUAUGGAAGAAUACCAGUGGCGAAGGCGGCUCUCUGGUCUGCAACUGACGCUGAGGCUCGAAAGCAUGGGUAGCGAACAGGAUUAGAUACCCUUGGUAGUCCAUGCCGUAAACGAUGAGUGCUAAGUGUUGGGAGGCUUCCGCCUCUCAGUGCUGCAGCUAACGCAUUAAGCACUCCGCCUGGGGGAGUACGACCGCAAGGUUGAAAC